CUACGGGUUGCAGCAGUGGGGAAUCUUAGACAAUGGGCGCAAGCCUGAUCUAGCCAUGCCGCGUGAGCGAUGAAGGCCUUAGGGUUGUAAAGCUCUUUCAGCGAGGAAGAUAAUGACUGUACUCGCAGAAGGAGCCCCGGCUAACUCCGUGCCAGCAGCCGCGGUAAUACGGAGGGGGCUAGCGUUGUUCGGAAUUACUGGGCGUAAAGCGCACGUAGGCGGAUCAGAAAGUCAGAGGUGAAAUCCCAGGGCUCAACCUUGGAACUGCCUUUGAAACUCCUGAUCUUGAGUUCGAGAGAGGUGAGUGGAAUUCCGGGUGUAGAGGUGAAAUUCGUAGAUAUUCGGAGGAACACCAGUGGCGAAGGCGGCUCACUGGCUCGAUACUGACGCUGAGGUGCGAAAGCGUGGGGAGCAAACAGGAUUAGAUACCCCAGUAGUC
rnacentral:rRNA from 1 species